UCCCCAGUGGCGCAAUUGUUUAGCUCGCGGUACUUGUAUUGCAGAGGCUGUGAGUUCGAGCCUCACCUAGGGAA